AUGUGGGGAGGGAGAGACACUAUUCGGCUAUUAUACGUUAGAUUAGAAACGGAUCAACAUGAGGAAAAAGAGAAGAUUGAAGAUGAAGAGGCAGCCGGAGAAAAUAUUUGUUCAUGUGCAAUGAGGAGAUAUAAUGGGAGCGCUGGCCGUGGACGGAUGUCUGUAGGUAGCGGAAUCUUUUUACGUGGGAAGAGAAAGGCUGUUGGGCUCUUACUAUUGGAAACGGAAGCACUAAUGACUGUUACUCUUCGGAUCACCAUUGAGGCUGUUCGUUUCUGCUUGCGCAUGUAUUCAAGGAAGCUGCUGACGUGGCUUGUAGGCUGA
rnacentral:rRNA from 1 species